UCGUCUUUGUUUUUGACAUGUUGAGCACUUUGACCAUUUAGCGGACAUAAAAAUGACAGUUUCGCCCGGAAACUGCCCAGGGGAUUUCCUUAACUCAUUUCCGCAGAUAUUUCUAACUGAAAAUUAGUCUCUGGACAAACACGAAGUUCUCUAAUUAAGCGAAUGUUUAUCAGAGGUGUGAAUAUUGUUACACUAGUUUAACGAUGAUCAUGGGAAAUUGCUCUAGGGAUAUUUGCCUAAGGAUAGAUGCCUUCCUGGAGGACUUACCUAAGGAAAAUAGCUUGUAUAGAUGUUGCACGUAAGGAAAAUUAUGAACGCACAUAUGCAGCCAGCCCAUUCGCAGUGAUUAGAAUCCUGAAAUAAUUACCAGUGUUCAGAGACUUUAUCGCUCUGCGACUGGCGGGCUUCAAGCAGAAAAGAAACAUUUUCAACUGGCAGAUCAAUAAACUGUUAAGUAACAUUUUAUAGUUAGGUUGCAGAACAAAUUGUGGAUUUUACCGAACAGAUGAACGUCGAACGAUAUUUGGUAUCAUUUUAUCAAAUUAGAUAAUAAAAAAAAGGAAAAUGCCGUAAUUGUCUGCAGACAGUUUCCUGUUCUUUGGGAUCUGCCUCCAAUUUAAAAAUUUAUUUUUACACUGUGCUUUGUAUUAGCAACAAAAUAUCAAUUGUAGCAAUAAAAUAAUGUAAUCGUUAA